rnacentral:misc_RNA from 1 species
CCUGAUCUCAGCCAAAGCUGCUUGCUCUUCUGGGGUUAAUUCCUCACCAUCCAUCUUAAAAUCCUCAUUUUCCUCCUCUGCUUGCCGCAUACCUUCUUCUUCUUCCAACUCCUCAAGUCUCUGUAAGAUAUCAGGAUCAAUGAAGUCAUAAACAUUGUGACCAUCCAGAAUUUCAGGCAAUACAUCAUCUUUCCAUUCAUCAUUGGCUAAGAUGUAAUUCUUCCUCAAAUUUGCUGAGUAUACACCUGCACCACCAUUUUCAUCUUCCAAAUCCUUUUC